CCUCAGCAGCGAAGAGAAAUGUAUACAAAAGAGAAAAACAACAUAACAUUUGCAUAUUUACAGUGCUACCAAUCAGCAUCCACCCCCUUAGUAUAUAAGGUGUAGCACUCCAUCCUUCUUCCUCUUUCUGUAGCGACCUGAAGACCAGCCAAUAACCAAACAGUAAACUUGAACUGAAACUGGAACGCCGGAUAACAGCCGUUCAUCCAUCUCUUAUGGAACCACUG